AUAUAUAUAUAUAUAAAUAAUUUUAUGCAAAAGAAGAAAUAAAGUGAGUCUCCUUAAUUCGAAGAAAUCAGUACAGAGAAGUGAGCGCAAGGGCUUACGAAUACAAGUUUCACUAUCUCUUGUAUUUGUAAAUCUAAUCCUUCUUUUUGUUGAGUAAGCCGAUGCACAAAUUCUUCUUUUUCGACGCCAUCAGUCAACCUAGAGACGAGAGAUUACUUUGAAUUUAAAAAAGAAGAGAGAAUCCGAAGAAAAAGAGAAAUAAAAAAUCACCAUGUAAUAGUAUUCUGAUGUACCAAAAUACAUAAAAUUUACUUAACUAUGUAAAAAC
rnacentral:sRNA from 1 species